rnacentral:rRNA from 1 species
AGGCAGCAGUUAGGAAUCUUCCGCAAUGGGCGAAAGCCUGACGGAGCGACGCCGCGUGAGCGAAGAAGGCCUUCGGGUCGUAAAGCUCUGUUGUGAGGGACGAAGGAGCGCCGUUCGAAGAGGGCGGCGCGGUGACGGUACCUCACGAGGAAGCCCCGGCUAACUACGUGCCAGCAGCCGCGGUAAUACGUAGGGGGCGAGCGUUGUCCGGAAUUAUUGGGCGUAAAGCGCGCGCAGGCGGUUCCUUAAGUCUGAUGUGAAAGCCCACGGCUCAACCGUGGAGGGUCAUUGGAAACUGGGGGACUUGAGUGCAGGAGAGGAGGGCGGAAUUCCACGUGUAGCGGUGAAAUGCGUAGAGAUGUGGAGGAACACCAGUGGCGAAGGCGGCUCUCUGGCCUGCAACUGACGCUGAGGCGCGAAAGCGUGGGGAGCAAACAGGAUUAGAUACCCGAGUAGUCC